rnacentral:rRNA from 1 species
UACGAAGGGGGCUAGCGUUGCUCGGAAUCACUGGGCGUAAAGGGUGCGUAGGCGGGUCUUUAAGCCAGGGGUGAAAUCCAGGAGCUCAACUCCAGAACUGCCUUUGAUACUGAGGAUCUUGAGUUCGGGAGAGGUGAGUGGAACUGCGAGUGUAGAGGUGAAAUUCGUAGAUAUUCGCAAGAACACCAGUGGCGAAGGCGGCUCACUGGCCCGAUACUGACGCUGAGGCACGAAAGCGUGGGGAGCAAACAGG